rnacentral:rRNA from 1 species
GACAGAGGGUGCAAGCGUUAUCCGGAAUGAUUGGGCGUAAAGCGUCUGUAGGUGGCUUUUUAAGUUCGCCGUCAAAUCCCAGGGCUCAACCCUGGACAGGUGGUGGAAACUACCAAGCUAGAGUACGGUAGGGGCAGAGGGAAUUUCCGGUGGAGCGAUGAAAUGCGUAGAGAUCGGAAGGAACACCCAAGGCGAAAGCACUCUGCUGGGCCGACACUGACACUGAGGCGCGAAAGCUAGGGGAGCAAACAGG